UUGACGUAAAACUCUUGUUAACAGUUCCUACAGGUUUUUACUUUGAAAAAAUUCGUAUUGAAAAGAUUUCAUGUACAUUUUAAUUGCAUUUUUAAAAUCUCUGCUUGGUUGCAUAUGAGACAAUUUAAAAAUAGUUAAGGUGUUUUGGAAAUAAACAACAUUUUUAAGAGUUUUUGAUUAUCAAAAAGAGUUCGUUUAGGAGGGGAAAAAAACAACAAAAACCAAAGCAAAUCCAUGCUUCAUACGAAAUGCAGAUACUCUUAGCUAUCUGGUAAAAGGGCAAAAAAUAAGACUUUAAAGUCUUUAGCACCAUUUAAAAAAAAUCAUAUUGAAAGAUUUUUCUUUUUUUUUUCUUCUUCUUCUUGUAUGACUACACAAGUAGAGGGUAGAGUUGGUAAGCCAGCAUUACUCAGCUGCAUCCUGCUCAGCCCGGAGCACAGAUCUCGAACACAUGUGCCAAAGAUGGAAUACCUGUCAGUGUGGGACCCUGAUUGACUGUGGUGAGCAGAACAUGUGGCCCUGGCUUCAGAGCUGGACAGUGAAAAAUCCUCUACAAUUUGGAAAGUGAUCCCUUGAGACAAUGGGUUCCAUUUUUGAGUGCUUUUUCUAUACCUCCCAGACUAAGAGAUUUGGAAAUGGGGCAACUUCUGCUCAUCAUUUAAUAUUUAACUCAGGAUUCUCCUCUCUGUGUACCUUCUGUGACUUGUGAACAUGGAUCCAACCCCUCCCUCUUAUGUACUGAAAUUGUACCUGGUACACACUUCUAUACAACACUUACAUUGUGUCACAGUAAUACACUGACUUCCUUCAGGUCUUGUAAAUUGAGGAGAGAGAAUCAGUCCAAUGGAUGGCCAAUCCCAUGGUUGGCACAUAGAAGGCACUUACAAAAGUUUAUUGAAUUGAAAUGGAAAUUUCACCUUAAAAAAUAUUUUUAAUCAUUAACAAAGUUGGAGCUUUAUACACAAAAGAUAAUAAAGGAAGAAAAUAGCAAAAAGACCAAGAAAUAGCUAUCUAUGGCUGAUUUAACUUGUUUACCAUCAGAUGCUUUAUUUUUAUUCCUGCUAUCAAACGUGUGCCCAUCUCCUGAAGAGGUGUAAUUUCAAAAGCCAUAAAUUCUUUUCUCUUUACAUCACAAAAGAGAGAGGACAAAAUCAGCGAUCAAGGGAAAGCAUGAGACAGACAUGCCCUUGGAGAAGCCACAGCCUGUCUCUGGUGACCACGACUAAUAGGAGCCAAGAAGGUCAAAACCCUGCACCACAGCAUCUGUGACUCAGGUCCCAAGUACACGGGGCCUGAGGAGGCUCUGGUUGCAUUCAAGACAUGAUGGAUAUUUAAGAUGCCAGUGACAUAAUCUGACAAAAGUCCGUUUUCUUCUAUCUGAGUGCAAAGCUGAAGUCCAUUCUCAGAGACAUGAAAAUCAAUCACUGUGCAGCUUCCUAGAGAGUCAAGUAACAGGUCCCUUCUGGGCCCUCCCAGAUCAUUCCUAAGCAAAAGCUAGAUUGCUUUUCUUCUCUCCUUCAAAUAUGUUUAACCAUCACGUGAACUCAAUGCAUCCCAACGGCCCCCACAGCUCGUGUCCACAUGGUGUCGUUACUGAGUCCUUUGUAUCAGCUCCAGUUCUUCUCUCUUCAGGUUUUGAGCAGAAAGGAAGUUCUCCGGAGCCUUAUUGCAUGCUCAUCUCCACCUGCUCUCUGCAGAAGUUUCCAGAUUGCUCCUCAUUCAGUUUUGGAAAAUUGGCCUUAAUGUUUAUCAAAUAUCUACUCUGUAUCAGACAUAAGGCAUAUGCAUACAUGCAUCAUUUUAUUUAGUCUUCAUGACAAGUGGGAAGGGAAUUAUUAUUGUCCCCAUUUUAAGGAUAGAGGAAUGCUAGAGCAGAGACGUAUAGGAACGCAGCUUGGCUCCCGGAGCUAACCUCUUGGAGAGCAGAGAUUCCCAGGAUUUGGACCCUGAGGCCCAUUCUCUUAAGCACUAUACUUCCUUGCUCUCUUUCUUCUGCCUGAGCACUGCCAUUAGGCUCCUGUGCUCACAUGUUCCAGCCACCCAGGCAGGGCCAGCCGAAGUCAUCUGUGAGAUUUUUUAGCAAACACACAGCCCUAAAUACAGCCUGGUGGCCCAUGUGACUCUAGAGGCUCCAGACCACCUGAGUUGGCCACCAUUCACUGAGGACACUGUUUCUCCCUCCUUGGCUCUUUAGAGGAUUCAAAAGUACAUCGGAGCACACGUGCUUUAAAACAUCACUAGUGAAUUGCAACUUCUUUAUAAUCAAAACAUCGAAAAGAGAUCUUCCUUUGGAGUCCUCAGGAAAGGCUAUGCCCUGUUAUCCCAUGUCAAGACCAGGAGCCAGUCCGCAGACUGGAGGUGAGACUUUAUUUGGAGGAUCUCUGCAAAUGAGCAAAAUAAAUAAAAUUUAUUUUUAAUGCCCACUCUGCCAAGCACUUUG